ensembl:lncRNA
UGGAGACGUGGGUUCAAUCCCUGGGUGAGGAAGAUCCCCUCAAGAAGGAAAUGGAAACACACGUCAGCAUUCUUGCCUGGAGAAUUCCACAGACAGAGGAGCCUGGUGGGCCCCAGUCCACGGGGUCACAGAGUCGGACACAACUAUACAGGAGGAGAGACAAGUGUGCAUAUGAGGACAGGUCACGUUCACAGUAUCUGCAGGACAUCAAAAAUGGAGACAUCCCGGAGGCAGUCAGGUGUGGCGGCCUGGAGGGUGAGUCUUCACAGACCUGGAGGCUAUCAGGGCACGUGAUGGCAACAAAGCUGACGAUGAAGGGCUUCCCUGGUGUUCGUGAGACUCUGAGCUCCCAGAGCAGGGCGCCCAGUCUGCAUCCCUGCUUGGGAAACUCGAUCCCACGUGAACAUCUAAGAGUCCACACACCGCAGGUAAGACCCCGCCGCGCAAUGGAGACUGAGUAUCCCACACUCCACAGUUAGGACCUGGUGCAGCCAAAUAAACAUUAAAAAAAAAAAAAAAGCUGGGAGUGAAUAAGACCAGCGGGUGUCAGCCUUGGGGUAAAUCUUAGGAUCUAGAAAAGAGCAGCCAAGGCCAGGGCCCGGGGCACAUGGACACUGGGAAACAGCGAAUCCAAACGGGAGAGGAAGCGGGGGCCAUCUGCGGGCCGCGGAGGUGCUGGGGCUCCAGGGAGGCCUGCUGGCCAUCUGCGGGCCGCGGAGGUGCUGGGGCUCCAGGGAGGCCUGCUGGCCAUCUGCGGGCCGCGGAGGUGCUGGGGCUCCAGGGAGGCCUGCUGACCUGGAGUCCAUGGGGAGCUGGGCUUUCCCAGACUCCGCACGUGGAGAGACACGAUUGUGCAGAAAGGCCUAAGGAACACACACAACAAACAAGAAAACAAACUCUUGGAGCUUACAGAUGAGUUUUGAGUUUACCAAAGCCAGAAGAUACAAGGUUAACACAGCAAAAAUCAAUCAUCACGUCCACACAAUAGGAAUGAACAACUAGAAACCAAAACUUAGAGCACAGUAUAGUUACAAACUCUCCAAAAAAGAAGACACGCAGGUCUAACAGCAGCAACAACAACAUGUACAGCUCUGAAUGCUGAAAACUACAAGAUGCUAAUGACCAAAAUCGAAGAUAACCGUAUAGAUAGAGAGACACACCAGGUUCAUGGACUGGGAAACUCAACAUAGUUAAGAUGUCAAUUCUCCCAAAUUCUAAAGAAAUUCUUAUCAAAAUCCUAGCAGGAUUCUUCUUCUCAGCUGCUUCUAAAAGGUAAAUAGAAAGAUGAAGGAACUAGAAUAGUCGAAGCAACUUUAAAA